AUUGAACGCUGGCGGCAGGCCUAACACAUGCAAGUCGGACGGUAGCACAGAGGAGCUUGCUCCUCGGGUGACGAGUGGCGGACGGGUGAGUAAUGUCUGGGGAUCUGCCCGAUAGAGGGGGAUAACCACUGGAAACGGUGGCUAAUACCGCAUAACGUCGCAAGACCAAAGAGGGGGACCUUCGGGCCUCUCACUAUCGGAUGAACCCAGAUGGGAUUAGCUAGUAGGCGGGGUAACGGCCCACCUAGGCGACGAUCCCUAGCUGGUCUGAGAGGAUGACCAGCCACACUGGAACUGAGACACGGUCCAGCCUCCUACGGGAGGAAGCAGUAGGGAAUAUUGCACAAUGGGCGCAAGCCUGAUGCAGCCAUGCCGCGUGUAUGAAGAAGGCCUUCGGGUUGUAAAGUACUUUCAGCGGGGAGGAAGGCGAUGUGGUUAAUAACCGCAUUGAUUGACGUUACCCGCAGAAGAAGCACCGGCUAACUCCGUGCCAGCAGCCGCAGUAA
rnacentral:rRNA from 1 species